rnacentral:rRNA from 1 species
AGAGUUUGAUCAUGGCUCAGAACGAACGCUGGCGGCAGGCCUAACACAUGCAAGUCGAACGCUCGUAGCAAUACGAGAGUGGCAGACGGGUGCGGAACACGUGGGAACAUACCCUUUGGUUUGGAAUAACUCAGGGAAACUUGAGCUAAUACCGGAUAAGCCCGUAAGGGGAAAGAUUUAUCGCCGAAGGAUUGGCCCGCGUCCGAUUAGCUAGUUGGUGAGGUAAUGGCUCACCAAGGCGACGAUCGGUAGCUGGUCUGAGAGGAUGAUCAGCCACAUUGGGACUGAGACACGGCCCAAACUCCUACGGGAGGCAGCAGUGGGGAAUAUUGGACAAUGGGCGCAAGCCUGAUCCAGCCAUGCCGCGUGAGUGAUGACGGCCCUAGGGUUGUAAAGCUCUUUCACCCACGACGAUAAUGACGGUAGUGGGAGAAGAAGCCCCGGCUAACUUCGUGCCAGCAGCCGCGGUAAUACGAAGGGGGCUAGCGUUGUUCGGAUUUACUGGGCGUAAAGCGCGCGUAGGCGGA